UACGGGGGGGGGCAAGCGUUGUUCGGAAUUACUGGGCGUAAAGGGCUCGUAGGCGGCCAACUAAGUCAGACGUGAAAUCCCUCGGCUUAACCGGGGAACUGCGUCUGAUACUGGAUGGCUUGAGUUUGGGAGAGGGAUGCGGAAUUCCAGGUGUAGCGGUGAAAUGCGUAGAUAUCUGGAGGAACACCGGUGGCGAAGGCAAUCCCCUGGGCCUGCACUGACGCUCAUGCACGAAAGCGUGGGGAGCAAACAGG
rnacentral:rRNA from 1 species